rnacentral:rRNA from 1 species
GAUGAACGCUGGCGGCGUGCCUAAUACAUGCAAGUCGAGCGAACAGACGAGGAGCUUGCUCCUCUGACGUUAGCGGCGGACGGGUGAGUAACACGUGGAUAACCUACCUAUAAGACUGGGAUAACUUCGGGAAACCGGAGCUAAUACCGGAUAAUAUAUUGAACCGCAUGGUUCAAUAGUGAAAGACGGUUUUGCUGUCACUUAUAGAUGGAUCCGCGCCGCAUUAGCUAGUUGGUAAGGUAACGGCUUACCAAGGCAACGAUGCGUAGCCGACCUGAGAGGGUGAUCGGCCACACUGGAACUGAGACACGGUCCAGACUCCUACGGGAGGCAGAAGUAGGGAAUCGUCCGCAAUGGGCGAAAGCCUGACGGAGCAACGCCGAGUGAGUGAUGAAGGUCUUCGGAUCGUAAAACUCUGUUAUUAGGGAAGAACAAAUGUGUAAGUAACUAUGCACGUCUUGACGGUACCUAAUCAGAAAGCCACGGCUAACUACGUG